CCGUCGGUUCCGCCCGCACAUCUGGUUGAGGGGCGUCUCCUGUCGCCAUCUGUCAUCGUGAAUGGGGCCGUGCCGACGUGUCAGACGGGACGAACGGGGGAAGUCGGUCCAGAGUCACUGCGCCGCGCGGUUGUGGGAGCAAGCCGUGGGCUAGGUACCGCUCCAGGUCAGACCAUGGUUGGCACUGAAGAGUGAGGCGACACUACACUGUGAACGAAGACGGUGAACGGCGAGAUGUGGUGACCGCUUGUCUGACCAGUGCCAAAAGUCGUGAUCUACCGCUGGGGUCAGUGCGUGAGAAGCUGGACUCGGCACCAACGGAGGACGCAGCUCGACGAGGAAGCUAUGCUGUGUUGAGGGACGUCUGCCGGUUACGACCGGAAGGUUUCCGACGGGACUUGGCAGAACCCACAACAGCAGUAUGAACCCGGCGUGGAGUUAAUGCGUAAUUGCUCGCAUGAGCAACCGAAGAGCGACUUUCAGGCGAAGCUGCCGCAGAAUUCCUGGAGAUGCGCUGGGACAUGGAUCAUAGCAAGGUGGCUCUCAGCGGCAGCUGACCGCUAAGAUGUGUCUGAAACAGCCAGAAAGAGACUCGAGUUGUGGUUCCAGGGCACUACCGAACAGAAGGCGGGACCAGCUGUAGGGAGACUACAGCAAAGCCGUCGUUCUCAAUCUGCUGAACAGACUCCUGCUGCAGAGGAAAAUUGGGGUUCGACGUGUUAGAACUGGGGUUAGACCGGUUACCAGUGCUCGUGUUCGUCACCUGUUGUUUGUCACUGCUGUGCUGCUGCUGUAUGUCAUGUUUGCCACCUGCUAAGCGUUCACAAUGUUUUUUGAGUGAGUAAUAACUUUUUUAGUGUUUGUCUUGAUUUGUAACGAGUAUAUCAAGUAUGUUAAUCUUUCAUCAAAUGAAGGACUCCAUAUAAAAAUAGUAUAGGCUGUGGUGGUACAGACAUAUAUACUAGUUUCUCGCGUUUAUCGUAACACAAGAUGAACAAAUUUCAAUUUAUCGCAACAUGUUUAUCGCAACAUUUUUGCCUCGAUUUAUUGCAUCAUCUAGGAUGUUGCAAUAAACUUGUGCAUCUUUUAAUGAAAGGUUUUGCCUAUCUAGGAAGAAAAAAUUCGGAUAUGUUCCUUCAUGGAUUGAAUCGCUGCGUCGCUCGCCGGUGAGGCACGGAGGUUGAGAUGCUGGAGGGACGGACAUGCAAUAAUUCUUGAGGUGUACCUAUCAGGUGCACGAUGGACAGAUUCGGUGCUUAUCUU